rnacentral:rRNA from 1 species
UACGGAGGGUGCGAGCGUUGUCCGGAAUCAUUGGGCGUAAAGGGCGCGUAGGUGGCGGGACAAGCGUGCGGUGAAAGCUCGGGGCUCAACCCCGAGUCGGCCGUGCGAACUGUUUUGCUUGAGCACUGUGGAGGCAGGCGGAAUUCCGGGUGUAGCGGUGGAAUGCGUAGAGAUCCGGAAGAACACCGGUGGCGAAGGCAGCUCGCUGGGACGUUACUGACACUGAGGCGCGAAAGCGUGGGGAGCGAACAGG